UUAAGAUGACAUCAAACCCACUCGACAUACCGAACAUUCACCUGCUCUGUAAAAAACCCGAGCUGUGGAAUGUUUCAGUCGGGGCCGAGUGAAUGAGCGUGCCCAAGCUGUUUUCUUCCCGUCGGUCCCUAAUUGCCGGAUUUCUACCCAGCUUAAGCGGUGCGUCAGAAAGCUUCGCGCUAGAAGAGCCUCGGGAUCGUUACACGACUUACAGCAGCAGUUUGAGGAGGCGCUGCUUUUCAUGUUGUGUCUGAACACAAUGCAGGAGAACUGACUUAACAAGCUUAAACAAAGGCUAAGAGUGUGCUCUAUUGUUCUGUCAGCAUGUUUUCUGUUGUUGGAAUGAAGUACGGAUGAAAAAGCUGAAUAGAUAAUUUACUUGUAUAGAGCUUUAGACGAUGACAUUUCUAUAAAGCAGCUUACGAGAAAUAUCCUGUGUGUGUAUGUAUAUAAAUUACAUAUAUAUUCAAUUCAAUUCAAAUAGCGCUUUUAACAAUGCACGCUGUCUUUACAGAAAUAUAGAAACAUAGAAUAAAAAUGAGAAAGUUACUAUUUUAUCACUAAUGAGACACCUGAGGCGACGGUGAUGAGGAAAAACUCCCUGAAGAUGAUAUGAGGAAGAAACCUUGAGAGGAACCAGGCUCAUCCCUAUCUGGACUAUGUAAAUGAUCGCUUUUAACAAUGAACCUUGUCCCUGACGAGCAAGCCAGAGGAGACGAUGACGAGGAAAAGCUCCCGGAAAUGACACCAGGAAGAAACCUGAAGAGGAACCAGACACUAGACGGGAAUCCAUCCUCAUCCCCGUGUCACCGGAGAGCGCUCCCUGUCAUUAGCGAUGCUGAAGUGUCCAGUGCGGAUCAAUCCCUCAGGCCGGUCACGCUCUGUGAUCAUGUGGUGGAACUUCAAAGCUAUGAGAUGCUUGACCAAAAAGAGUGAGUGAGCUGAUUAGAGCUCUUUAAGUGUGUUUGUGAGUGUGUGUGUGUGUGUGUGUGUGUGUCCAAAAUGUUGUCAGGUUAGAUGUUAUCCGAUAAGCAGGUGUUUAGCUACAAGUACUGGUUGGCUGUAAUUGAAGAGUCUCAAUAUCUGUUUCACACACACACACACACACACACCUGUCCUGAUUUCCAGUCUGCACAAGUGACUCACUUCUCUUUAAUCGAAUUUCAUGUCAUUAUGAUGCUCCACACUUCCACUCUAAUUACAAAAUGAUUUUUUUUUUUUAUCAGUCGAGUGCAAAAGUUUACACACCCCCUCAUUUGAAAUGAUGAAUCCACAUGAACAAGGCAUUUAAUGUGGUUUUUUUUUUUUACAGAACGUUUAUUUAUUUGUCAACAUUGUAAGUGACGAAGAAAUGGACAAAAAGUGUUAAAAAAAAGAAGAAGACAUUUUUAAAUGCAAUAAAAAAUUCACGAAUUAAAGAAAAACAGAGAAAUCAUGGAAUAUGAG